CUGACCAGGACGCAUGGGUCGACGUUCGUGCAACGAGCCCGUUCCUUCUGCUGCAUCAGUGUAGCAGGGAUGCGCCAUUGUCAG
rnacentral:ncRNA from 1 species